AGCGAACGCUGGCGGAAUGCUUAACACAUGCAAGUCGCACGGGGGGCUUCGGCCUUAGUGGCGGACGGGUGAGUAACGCGUAGGAAUGUGUCCGAGGGUGGGGGAUAACGUUGGGAAACUGACGCUAAUACCGCAUAUCCCCUGAGGGGGAAAGCAGAGAUGCGCCCACGGAGCAGCCUGCGUCCGAUUAGCUAGUUGGUUAGGUAAAGGCUGACCAAGGCGACGAUCGGUAGCUGGUCUGAGAGGAUGAUCAGCCACACUGGAACUGAGACACGGUCCAGACUCCUACGGGAGGCAGCAGUGGGGAAUAUUGGACAAAUGGGCGCAAGCCUGAUCCAGCAAUUCCGCGUGGGUGAAGAAAGGUCUUCGGAUUGUAAAGCCCUUUCGUUGGGACGAUGAUGACGGUACCCAAAGAAGAAAGCCCCGGCUAAACUUCGUGCC
rnacentral:rRNA from 1 species